rnacentral:lncRNA from 1 species
ACUGUCACUAUUAUAAGCUUCUCCUUGAUUCUAGCAUGCACAUGGAUAAAAAGACAAACAUGUAUGAUUUAUAACUCCAAAUUAACCAACCCAAUUGUUUCAACAUGUUUAGUCCUUUAAUCUUUGUUCCCGGUACUACCUUCUUGAUCCCACACUCUUAACCAUAUGAGCUAAAAUGUUGCACAUCCGAUCUUUGGAAAAUGAUAGUCAUGUAAAAAAAUAUUUACUUAGAUAGAUUAUCUUUCCAUAAGGUUGAGUGAUCUGAUCUGACAAAUGUUUUAAAUGCUACACUCAUGAUCUUAUCAUCCAUCAACUUUGUCUUGCUCACUAUGCUUAAGGUUAGAGAAGAACAAAUACACUUUUGGUUCUGUUGGUGUUUUCCACCAACAGGGCCCAUGCACUUGAUCUUUGCCUUGUCUCUAUGAGCAGGAUACACUUCGAGCAAAACAUGGAGGAGUUUUACAACUUCCAGACUCUACCAAGUGAAGGACCUGGAUCUACGAGCACAAACACACUGAGGAGGAUGCUGCCAACGCCGCACUUCGAACUGCUGGGCAAACGAAAAACAUGGGUGACACCGUAUCAAGAGGUGCAGAUGUCAAGGUCCACACCUAACUCAAAUGACGCACCUAAAGAAUAAACAUGGUGAGAAGUCUUGUUCAGAAGACUUAAAAUAUUGAACCCUCGCCGAAAGGCAAAAUCAGUAGUUAUCCAUAUUUAUCCUUUCUGCGUUCCUUUUUGUCUUAAAUUAUUUACUUUCCUUAAAUAGCUUGUUAGUUAAUCAUGCUAUCUUGAAAAGAAAAUAAAAAUGUUAAAAACAGUAAGCCCCAUGUGAGUAUGCUCGUGGCAUAAAACUCAUUCACUGUGGUGGCGUCAAAAAUAAAAUAAAUAUAUUCUUGUCCUGUAAAAAUAAAAAUAUAAAAAUAAAUUUAUGAUCCUACUAAAGAGAGUAAUAUUUAUUAGAGGAAGCUCAACAUGAUAAAGGCUAAGAGAUUUUAUCCUAACACUUAACCAGUUCCACAAAGCUUUGUUGUCUAUUUGAGCUCCACAGAAUUCAAGGAUCAAGAAAGACUGGUAGACGGAGGAUAUCCUAAUCACUAUCAAGGUGCUGCCAACAUUCAAAUACACCUACGCCACCUACUAGCUACAUCAGAAGAAAUUACAUUAAAAUCCAGCUUGGGGAGAGCACCCCUAUUUAUCCAGCUAAGUGUUUCUGCUCACAUUUAUAUUUUACUAAAAAAAAUGCAUAAUCAUAAAAACCCAAUUAAACAUUUUGUGCUUAUAUAUAUCUUUGCUUAGUUUGCUAAAUAAAUAAAUAAAGUAUCUAUGCCAAACUGAACUUCAAUGUUAAACUCUUACAUGGAUAUGAUGAAUAGUUACUCUGCCAAGUACCUAGUUUUCAAAUUUGAGCUCUCUCUCAAGUUUAGGCAUGACUGUUAUUAAUUAAGAUUUGCUCUAAACCUAAACUUGUGGGAAGAGUACCUGAUAUAAAGUCUAAGUCGUUAACGGAUACGAUAUGGAAAGGUUGAGCUGCUGUUUAUCUGUUCCUAGAGAUGCUAGAAUUUUGGAGAAUUUUAUUUUUGAAAAUCUUUAAAAUAUUACAUGAUGAGUUCCUAUAUGAUGAGAGUUUAAAAUCCUACCACAACCAUAUAUACAAGCUUAUUAGACUAUGAACCAUACAUUUACUUUUUACUGCUUAUGAGCAUUGAGUGUGGUCAAAGCUGUGUAGACCCUUAGGAGCUUGUCAUGCGGUUAAAAUCAAGAUUCACUUGCACGUUCACUCAUACAUGCUGCUUCUACUCCAGAAGUAUGCAUCCACAUACAUCCACUCAUUUCCAUAUCCAGAUUCACCCAAAAUUAUUCAACUCCUAACUAGGAGAGAAUAGCCAAAAGCAUUAUCCUAUCCCUGUUAUUCCCCGUGAAAUAAAUGCUCGAGAUAUUUUGGUUACUACCACUUGCUACAUUAUUCCAGGAGGGUGAGUGCUCUGAAAAAAAGUGAGUACGAGAAAAUAAAAAGGGGCAAGUGCCCGAAACCUCUAAAAAAAGAAGAAAAAAAGUGAGACGAGAGGUAAAAAUGGACAAGUGUCCGACAGUAGAAUUAGGGGUACAAGAUACCCACCUGAGAGAAAAGAAAAAUAAAAUAUAGAGCAUCUCAUUCCCCUCAAAAGCCUCAAGUGCAAGAAAGGUAUGUACCCCCUCAAAAGAGCAAAAGUAGAAUUAGACUUUCAUCAUUAUUUUCACCAUUAUCACCAUUCAUUCUCCACACAUGCACAUCUUGAUUUGACUUAUUGACUUGUUCUUCUGAAUCCAUGGUUUGACUAUGCAAUAAGUGUCUUGUAAGUAUGUAUUAGCUGUCUCCCACCUAUGAGCUCCAGAUAUCAAAACCUUAUUAGAGUAGGGUGAGAGAGAAGGCAAUAUCACUAUGCCUCAUACCAAAAAUACCACAUACUUUGAGAGAAGGCAUACACCAUUACUGCCUUGGUAAGGAUCCAGAAAUACCCCAAAAGAGAGACUAGAGAGAGUCAUAGAAGGAAUCUCUGAGUUUUAUUUGAAAAUCUGCAAAAACUCGAGAGCAAUAUUUAAUAGAAGAACAAGAGACAUGGCGUUUGACUAGACCGUUCUAUCUUUUAACUGCUCAAGACAUAAGUGACGGUUGCAAGCCCCAUGGUGGAAGGUAAAAUGAGUAUGUUUAAAUCUUAACAGUUUACCCUAACCCAGAUAUGAGAUCUUGUUUGAACGCAUGUGUACCUUUAAGGCAUGAAACCACUGCAGAAACUCUUGAGUCCAUCUUUGCUCAGGGACGAGCAAAGGUUAAGCUUGGGGAAACUUGUUGACGGUCCUUAAUGCUCACAUUUAACCGUCAACUAAUCAUGAAAAAGGAUCCAAAUGCAACCGACACCUAGACUUAGAGUUUCAUCUGACAUAUUUCCACGAGUUUUGGUGUUUGUCUAUUUCUGCAGGGGGUUAUCAGGAAAUAUGAAGGAAAAGGCCCACACGUCGGGUUUACAUAGAGAUAUUAACAUGCCGCGCAAUUUUCUAUCAUCUAGAAGACUCCAGAAGCUACGGGAACGAACGGGAGGCCGAACGGGCCUGGGGGCAGGGCGCCCGCCCUUCCCCCUUGGGCGCCUGCCCUAGUACAAGCACCAAUCACAGAAUGGAGUACACCAUUACAAAGAUCUCAUCGAGCUGAUGGAAAUGCAUAUAUUAUUUGCUAUAUUUGGAGUUCAGAAUCAAGAGAUAUUAAUAAAAGAAGGACUCCACAUAAAAGAGCUGCGGGAUUAAUUGGGCCCAAAUCAGAUUUUGGUCCAUUAAGGCCUAUGUGCAUUUUAAUGAGAUAUGGUGGAAAGUUUAGUACCACAUCGCCUGCUGAACCAAAAAGGCACAAAAGGAGGAGGCUAUAUAAGCAAGGCCCCUGGCCCCUGGAGGAGAAAAUAUCAUUAUAGAGUUGAGAGGUGCCCUCGAAGGAUAACCUUUCCUCUAUAGAGAAUUAGGGCUAGACAUUCCAAUGUAGUAGAUUAGUUCUAGUCGGGAGUUAGGGAGAGCGGAGCUGCGCUCUAGUUCUGGAGAAGUCUUUAGAGUUUUGGUAUGUCUUUAUAUUCAUUGUAGGACUUAUGCUUUAAUAUAUUGAUCUUCUCUAUUUACUUUUAU